CAUGAAGCUGGAAUCGCUAGUAAUCGCGGAUCAGAAUGCCGCGGUGAAUACGUUCCCGGGUCUUGUACACACCGCCCGUCACACCAUGGGAGUCGGGAAUGCCCGAAGUCAGUGACCCAACCGAAAGGGGGGAGCUGCCGAAGGCAGGCCUGGUAACUGGGGUGAAGUCGUAACAAGGUAGC
rnacentral:rRNA from 1 species